GACGAACCGUGCGAACGUUGUUCGGAAUCACUGGGCUUAAAGGGCGCGUAGGCGGCCGGGUUGGUCGUGGGUGAAAUCCCCCAGCUUAACUGGGGAACUGCCUACGAUACUGCCUCGGCUCGAGGGAGGAAGGGGCGGUCGGAACUGUCGGUGGAGCGGUGAAAUGCGUUGAUAUCGACAGGAACGCCGGUGGCGAAAGCGGACCGCUGGCCCUCUUCUGACGCUGAGGCGCGAAAGCCAGGGGAGCGAACGGG
rnacentral:rRNA from 1 species